rnacentral:rRNA from 1 species
UACGAAGGGGGCUAGCGUUGUUCGGAAUUACUGGGCGUAAAGCGCGCGCAGGCGGCUAUCCAAGUCAGUGGUGAAAGCCCGGAGCUCAACUCCGGAACCGCCAUUGAAACUGUUUAGCUUGAGGAUGAGAGAGGUGAGUGGAAUUCCCAGUGUAGAGGUGAAAAUUCGUAGAUAUUGGGAAGAACACCGGUGGCGAAGGCGGCGACCUGGUCCGAGACUGACGCUGAGGCGCGAAAGCGUGGGGGAGCAAACAGG